CGUACUGAGACACGGACCAGACUCCUACGGGAGGCAGCAGUGAGGAAUAUUGGACAAUGGGCGCAAGCCUGAUCCAGCCAUGCCGCGUGCAGGAAGACGCAUCUAUGGUGUGUAAACUGCUUUUGUACGGGAAGAAACCCUCCUACGCGUAGGAGCUUGACGGUACCGUAAGAAUAAGGAUCGGCUAACUCCGUGCCAGCAGCCGCGGUAAUACGGAGGAUCCAAGCGUUAUCCGGAAUCAUUGGGUUUAAAGGGUCCGUAGGCGGCUAUAUAAGUCAGUGGUGAAAGCCCAUCGCCCAACGAUGGAACGGCCAUUGAUACUGUCUGGCUUGAAUUACUAGGAAGUAACUAGAAUAUGUAGUGUAGCGGUGAAAUGCUUAGAUAUUACAUGGAAUACCAAUUGCGAAGGCAGGUUACUACUAGUUGAUUGACGCUGAUGGACGAAAGCGUGGGGAGCGAACAGGAUUAGAUACCCUGGUAGUCCACGCCGUAAACGAUGGAUACUAGCUGUUCGGGGUAACCUGAGUGGCUAAGCGAAAGUGAUAAGUAUCCCACCUGGGGAGUACGUUCGCAAGAAUGAAACUCAAAGGAAUUGACGG
rnacentral:rRNA from 1 species